AAAAAAAUUUUUUUUUAAAAAAAAAAAAACCCCCCCCAAGGGGGUUUUUUUUUUGGAACCCGUUUUUUUAAAAAAUUUUUUUUAAAAAAUUUUUUUUUUUUUUGGGGGGGGGGUUUUAAAAAAAACCCCCCCCCCC